UUUACAAAACGCUUUCUAGAAAAUUGAUGUUUAUAGUUAUAAUGAUAAAUAAUAUUGCAAGGGUUUCAAACUAAAAUAUUUAGCUUACUAAACCGCCAACCAAGUUUCAUUUCAAUUGAAAACGGAUAACACUCAAAAUGUUUAUUUUAUGCUUAGUAAUGAAGUUUUAAGCACAUUUAGAUAUAGGGCGGUCGUUCGAAUUUUUGCAUUUCUGUAGUUUAAAAUUUCCUCGUAGAUUUUACUAGAAAAUUGUUUACUAUUGAUGUUCUUGGAACAUUCUAAUAGCAACGACGUUUCCUUGGUAAAAGAAGAAUAGAUAAAUUAAAUUUGGCAAUUUAUACAAUACGUGUUUUCUAGAGAUGCGUUAAAUAAAAACAAUCUAGCGAAAA